CAAUAGCGUAUAUUAAAGUUGUUGCGGUUAAAAAGCUCGUAGUUGGAUUUCUGCUGAGAACGACCGGUCCGCCCUUUGGGUGUGUAUCUGGCUCUUUCUUGGCAUCUUCUUGGUGAACGUUGCUGCACUUGACUGUGUGGAGCGCUACCCAGGACUUUUACUUUGAGGAAAUUAGAGUGUUUCAAGCAGGCAUACGCCUUGAAUACAUUAGCAUGGAAUAAUAAGAUAGGACCUCGGUUCUAUUUUGUUGGUUUCUAGAGCUGAGGUAAUGAUUAAUAGGGAUAGUUGGGGGCAUUCGUAUUUAACUGUCAGAGGUGAGAUUCUUGGAUUUGUUAAAGACGGACUACUGCGAAANCANNNGCCAAGGAUGUUUUCAUNGA
rnacentral:rRNA from 1 species